UACGAGAGGCCCAAACGUUAUUCGGAAUUAUUGGGCGUAAAGCGCGCGCAGGUGGUUUCUUAAGUCUGAUGUGAAAGCCCACGGCUCAACCGUGGAGGGUCAUUGGAAACUGGGGAACUUGAGUGCAGAAGAGGAAAGUGGAAUUCCAAGUGUAGCGGUGAAAUGCGUAGAUAUCUGGAGGAAUACCGGUGGCGAAGGCGGCAUCCUGGACCGGCAUUGACGCUGAGGAGCGAAAGCCAGGGGAGCAAACGGG
rnacentral:rRNA from 1 species